UAUGAGCUUUGUGCUUGUUACUCUCAGCACUGUUGAUUUCUGGGGUGCUGGGUUCCAAAAUCAGCGUUUGGCAGCAUCCUGAUGGGCAGCUGUGGUGGUGCAGCGCUGUGUCACAGGGUGGGUGAAGCUCAGUAAAUCAGGUUUUGAUUUGCAUUGCAAAAAAAAUUAUUGCUUGUCUUCAGACAAUCUCAAUGCUGUUGUGUCAGAAGCAAAUUGGGUUCAAAAAGCUGUCUAUGACCCAAUGCUGGGUUGAUUCCAGAGAACUGAAUUUGCAAAUUCAGAGCUGUGGCACUGUGUUGGACAGCGACGGCAUAGAGGCAUAUGAACCAAAUUUACAUUAGCAAAAGUGAAUGGAAGAAAAUAAAAAUAGAAAACAAUACUUAAAAGAGCCAGAUCAUCUGAAUUAUUUGUCUGAUGAACGAUGAGUCUGUGAACAUGGUGCCAGGCAGAACCAUGCUUACAAACUAACAUAAACUUUUUUUUCCCCUCACCCUGCCUCUGGUUUCUUGAGUACAUCCUGACUGUAACAUUUUGAUGGGCCUGAUACUGAUGUCUGAGCAAAGGAGUUCUUGUAGAGAUCCCCAGACUGCUCUGAGUGUCCUCAAGAGCAACACAGCUAUGUCAGCCCAAAGCACAGUCUGUGUUAGCUAGUGCUGGCAAGUGACAGGUCUUAUUAGUGUGCGUGGGGCACAGUGUUAACGUGUCUAUGCUGCUUUUGUCUCUGGGAGAGCAUCUCAUCGUGGCAUUGCUCUUGGCGAUGUGGAUGCAACAUCUCGUAUGGGUGCUAGUAUAAGAAUGUCUCUGCGUGGGAUAAACACACCCAGAAUAUAGAGCAGACAGGUACCUGCAUCUCAUCCAGAACGAGUCAGUGGCCUCCCCGGUGGUCCCGCAGCAGCCAAGGACAUCCUGGCCAUGGAAAUAGACCUCACCCCAAGAUUCCUGGCACAUAAGUCCCUGGCCCCCGCUGCAUUUACUUUUCAUUACGAAUGGGUGGAGGCAAUGUUGGCUCAGCUAUGUUAAAAAAGUCUUUUCUGUCCCCAACUUUGUGGCAUUUGAUCUUUCCUGUUAUUUUUGAGCUACAGUGCUUCACAAAAGAUGCCAGGCCUGGAGAGGAAAUAUUUGUAGCUGAGCUUCUCAGUGAGGUCCAGUCAAACCUUAAAGGCUCGUACAUCUGCUCUGGCUCCAGCGUUGUUCCCCGAGAUGCUGUGAGGUGGCCCUUGAGACUUCCCCUGCACGCGAGGCAAGGAGGAAAUACAAGCACCAGUACAUCUCCCUAACUGACUGGCAGAAAAAAACCCAAAGAGCUGAUUACUGAGCAGUCCUCCUUCUUUUUCCAUGCUGGACAUGUUUGCACGCUGCAGAGUCCCUCAAACUGCCAUCUCUCUUCAUGCUCACCGGCCUCAGAGUGGAACUGAAGGGGGGGGGAUGAUUCCUUUCCCUGAGGACACUGACAUUAGCAACAAGCAGUCAGUCAUAAAGGAUGCAACCAGAAAACGACAGUGGCACUUCCUAAAUAUCAAAGCAGCUAUUCUAAGACAGAAGCAGAAGUAUGUGUUGACAAUGUUAGAAGAUGAAUGGCUAGAUACAGUCAAUUCCUUUUACAGAAAAGAUUAUUUUUCACAAUUAUUAAUGUAGUAUUUUAAAUUUUUUUAUUUGCUUUUUGCUUUUUUCUUCCUUCCUUUUCCCCCCUUUACUAUGAUACUUGAGAUUGGCUGCCCUGAUUCUUCUAUGCUUUUAUUCUGCUUAUUAAUUUGUUGUCCAAACUUCUUACAGUUCCCUAGGAGAAAAAAGCAUCACCUCGGCAUUGCUAGCUUUUAUUCUUGCUUGUACCACUUGCUUCUUCUGAGCGUCCAUUUAAUACAGGCACUUCUUCGGUAAAUGCCAAUUACUUGUUUCAUUAUAUUUCAAGCUCAAAUAUAUUUGAGACACAUCAUACCUGAAGUUAACUAUCUACCGUCUGAUUCCAUUCAGUGAAGGAAGCAGCCUACGCGUUAACUCAGUUAAGAGCCAGGCACAUCCGCUUCCUGCUUCAUGUAGCCGUGCAUUGGAUUUGAUCGUGUAUUAUUAUUUUGCGUCUAUUUUGGUUUAUGUCAGGAUUACACAGUGAAUGAGUUACUUUAUUUCUUACAUUUCCAGGUUAGAUGUUAAAGUAAACUGCCAUGGUUCUCUCUGUAUGCAGUGAGCACAUCAGCUGCAGUUCUUCGUACUGGGGAUACUAAUUUUUCAAAGAAUUUAUUACCAUCACAAAAUUCUAUGAGUAUAAAAUUGAGAUAUGACUGCAGCGAGAGUAAUCUUAAUGUUUUCUUGGCUAAUGUAAAGACAAGUCUUAAAGGAGGGAAAAAUUUACUUUUGCUUUACAUUUGCAAUCCCCAGGCAACAUUCAGUCAUUUUAAAAUUAUCCUGAGUUGUUUAAACAACGUAGUAGCUUGUGUUCUUCAGAAAUAGCUUUUGACACAUUAUCUUGCUGGUGAAACCUGUGUACUUAAUGAGUCAAAGGGAACCGUUUUCCAAAACCCUCAGAUAUUUUGCAUGGAUAUUCAUCAUUAUCAUUAUCACCAGUCAUCCUAGUGAACACCAGGAAAGCUGCAUAUUAGUCACUGUGAAAGGUGCUAGGUUGAACUAUACAUCACUGCUACCUUCUAAUAGACUUUGAAACAGGAUAGCAUGAUUUACAUUUUUUUGCAUUUUGGAAAAUCAGAUGAAGGCUCUUUUUCAAGUCCACAAGCAUUCACCCUGCCAAAUUAGCAAUGAUUCUUUGCCAGUUCAUUACGGUGGGUACGAGGGAACCUUUAGGUAGGGAACAUGUUGUCCUUGCUUGCACAUGGGAGUCAGCAGUUGGGGUUUGUGAUUACCACCUGCUGAAGCGUUUAGCAGUCCCACCUGGAGGACCUGAUGAGACUGUUUAGCAGUGUUGCAACAGAGUGAAGGAGCUCAGUGGCAGCGCCCAUCCUGCCUGUGCUUCAACAGGCUUCUCUCUAUGCUCCCUAGAUGCUGUAGACCUAGUGCCUGAAAGCUUCCUAAACAUGGUAACUCUGCCAAACCGUGCAGCACUGAGACUGUGAUUCUUCUUUGCGGCUGCUGCAGUAGUUGGCAAUUGGUAUGGUACAGGAGUCAGUGCAAGCAACAAAACAGAAGAUUAUACAGGUCUUUGAGAGGCUGGCCAGACAGAGCCUCCCCUCAGUAAGGUGCUCCCUUAGAGUGAAGGUGUCUAGCUGCUCAUUACAAGUCUUUUCACAUGCUGAUCCCGAUCAGUGGAGAAAUUCCGAGUUAUUUGGGGGGAAAUAGGAGAAAUCUUGAAGUCCCUGAAUCAGAAGGACUAUAAAAACAUAUGGGCAGGCCCAGAAACCCAGUUCCUGGGGUUCCUCACCUUCUUAAGUGGACAGAUUUAAAUGUGUCAUCGCCUCCAGCACAUCAAAUACAAGAAAUUUUCUCCAUGCAAAUAAAGUACUUUAAAGGUUUUUCUAUAUCAGGUCCUAGCAGCGGAGUGGGUCUCAAUUCAAACCUGUCUUUUUCUCCUUCUUGAUGCCAUUAUAUCCAGAUAUUAUCUGAGAGGGAUUUUGUAGUGGUCAUGGAUAAGUUGUUUCAAAUUAAAUUUGGAAGAGUUUGAUGCUCAGAAAA